rnacentral:rRNA from 1 species
GAGUAACGCGUAGGGAACCUGGCCCUUACAGGGGGAUAACAGAUGGAAACAACUGCUAAUACCGCAUAAGCGCCCAGCCUCGCAUGAGGCAGAGUGAAAAACUAAGGUGGUAAGGGAUGGCCCUGCGUCCGAUUAGCUAGUUGGUAUGGUAACGGCAUACCAAGGCGACGAUCGGUAGCCGGCCUGAGAGGGUGGACGGCCACAUUGGGACUGAGACACGGCCCAAACUCCUACGGGAGGCAGCAGUGGGGGAUAUUGCACAAUGGGGGAAACCCUGAUGCAGCGACACCGCGUGGGUGAAGAAGCGCUUCGGCGUGUAAAGCCCUAUCAGUGGGGAAGAAAAAGGACGGUACCCAAAGAAGAAGCACCGGCUAAAUACGUGCCAGCAGCCGCGGUAAUACGUAUGGUGCAAGCGUUAUCCGGAAUGACUGGGUGUAAAGGGAGCGUAGACGGUUGUACAAGUCAGAUGUGAAAGCCCACGGCUCAACUGUGGGAGUGCAUUGGAAACUGUAGAACUAGAGUAUCGGAGAGGCAAGUGGAAUUCCUAGUGUAGCGGUGAAAUGCGUAGAUAUUAGGAGGAACACCAGUGGCGAAGGCGGCUUGCUGGACGAUAACUGACGUUGAGGCUCGAAAGCGUGGGGAGCAAACAGGAUUAGAUACCCUGGUAGUCCACGCUGUAAACGAUGAAUACUAGGUGUUGGG